CGCGAGGGGAAGCCUCGCUAGGCGUCCGGCCCCCGGGGCAUCCGCGAGCUGGCCGGCGAAUGGAUGGGGUGUCCGCGGUGGCUUUCCCGGACGCUGAUUAGGGUGGUGAAGUUCUCAAGAGAUGAAUACCUUCCCUUUUUGUAUAUCCUCGUACUUAUAAAGCCAGGCGUCCUUUUUGAAUUGAAAAGACAAAAUUAACAGAAUGUAAACGAUUUUCUCAGAAGGCAGCAUCACAGCUGUGAAGGGGUAAUAUUUGUCCACAGUAUUUAAGGAAUUGUGGCAAACAAGAGAUCACAGAAGAACGGAUAUAAGCAAGUGUACUACACUGAAAAAGGGGGAAAAGUGGAUCCCAUACAUCACAAACUGAGCACAAGCAGGGGGAGCUGCAGGCAGAGGGAGAAGCAG